UGGCACAAACUAGUCAAUGCUUUGCAAUGUUUGCGGCUUAUUGUACCCAGAAUGGUAUGCCCGCUAUGCAGAUGCCUCAAUCAGGCCAUGGAUCUAAUGCUGAUGGAUCUUCACAUGCACGAGGCCCAAGCGACAACAACCUUGGUGGUUCUCCGAAUGUUUGAGAUCGAGUAUGGUUGCCACCUGGAUGCUCUUUGGACUACGACAUGGACAUGAAGGCAUUUG